rnacentral:rRNA from 1 species
AACGAACGCUGGCGGCAUGCCUAACACAUGCAAGUCGAACGAGACCUCCGGAUCUAGUUGCGCACGGGUGCGUAACGCGGGGGAACCGUCCCUUAGGCUGGGGAUAACUCCCUGAAAGGGGUGCUAACACCGGAUAAUGUCCUCGAACAAAAGAUUUAUCGCCUUUGGGUGGGCCCGCGUUGGAUUAGCUAGUUGGUAGGGUAAAAGCCUACCACGGCGAGGAUCCAUAGCUGGUCUGAGAGGAUGAUAUGCCACACUGAGACUGAGACGCGGCCCAGACUCCUAGGGGAGGGAGGAGUGGGGAAUAUAGGAAAAUGGGGGAAAGGCUGAUCCAGCAAUGGCGGGUAAGUGAUGAAGGCCUGAGGGUUGUAAAGCUCUUUUACCCGGGGUGGUAAUGACGGUACCGGGAGAAUAAGCUCCGGCUAACUCCGUG